rnacentral:rRNA from 1 species
CCUACGGGUGGCAGCAGUGGGGAAUAUUGGGCAAUGGGCGCAAGCCUGACCCAGCAACGCCGCGUGAAGGAAGAAGGCUUUCGGGUUGUAAACUUCUUUUAAGAGGGAAGAGCAGAAGACGGUACCUCUUGAAUAAGCCACGGCUAACUAAGUGCCAGCAGCCGCGGUAAUACGUAGGUGGCAAGCGUUGUCCGGAUUUACGGGGUGUAAAGGGCGUGUAGCCGGGCUGACAAGUCAGAUGUGAAAUCCGGGGGCUCAACCCCGGAACUGCCUUUGAAACAGUUGGUCUUGAGUAUCGGAGAGGCAAGCGGAAUUCCUAGUGUAGCGGUGAAAUGCGGAGAUAUUAGGAGGGACACCAGUGGCGAAGGCGGCCUGCUGGACGACAACUGACGGUGAGGGGCGAAAGCGUGGGGAGCAAACAGGAUUAGAUACCCCGUGUAGUC